ACCUAUCCUCUCUUAGUUUUGCAGGUAUGUGCUGAUCAAAUCAAUUAAUUAAAUUAUUUUUAUACAUUGAAACACUAUCUAAAUCUAAGGCUGAUCUGUGUAAAAAGAGACAAAAUAAACAAUAAUAUUUCACCUCUACACAGGCUAUGUUUAUGAACAUGCCAUAUUUUACUAUUAUUAUUCCAAACUAUAUUACAUGACUAAGCCCUCUCACCAAUGAACCAAUGGAUAAGAAUUUUUUAAGCUUCUUUCUCAUGAAACUAUGCAGAGUAUCCACGGCAAAAGCCAAAUCCUCCAUAAGUACUCAGCAACUCCAUGAAUUUUUCUGGGUUAAUUUUUCUAAUUAAGAAUUCCCUCAAUUAAAAAAUAACAUAAAAGCUCUAUUUACAUUUCUAUUCAAUUUUCUACAUUUAUACAUAGCAUUUUCGGCGUGUAGUUUCCGAUUGCAUUGUACAAGCUCAAAGGUCUUGUUCUUCGUAGAUGUCCAAAUGGUUCAAUUGCUUGGAUUUGUUAUUUUGGGCAUUCGUCUGGUAUAGUUUUUAAAAAUGGGGUCCCGGGGUUUUUGUUAGAUUGGCUGCCUCGAUAAAUAUGACGUUGUCAUGAUAUCAUAAAUAUGAUUUUAUAUUUAAAAAUUUUAGAAUAAUUGUUUUCAAAAUAAAAAAAGUUAUUCUAAAACAAUAAAGGUCUCAUAAAUUUUUUCCCUUAAAUAAAAUCAACAUAUGUAUAUGAAUUAGAAGAAAUUCUUAUUUAAAUUUGAUUUACCGUAAAUUCAAGAUACAAUAUAAAAUGAGAUCUAUAGAUAAAAUCAAUAAAUUUUAUAUAUUUAUGUUUCAAAUUCAUAAUAAACUACGUCUUGCUAAAUAUUUUCAUCAAUUAGAGUGAAUUAUUUGCCAAUUCCGGUCGGUUCGGUUGGACCAGCUGAUAUGGUUUACAAAAUAUGGCUCUGACCAAAAUUGCACUAGUGCUCAACAUCAUAAAAUUUAUUGGUUGUGACUUGUGACAUUAAAUCAAGUAGGGUCAUGUAUAUUGGUGGGUCUUUUAAUUAUAGUUGUGCAGCUGGCUUCCCAACCACAAAUAAGCUUUGCUUAGAUACUAAAGUAAUCUGUUUUCAAAUUAAAGCGUCACUGCAACAGUUGUUGAAGGGUUAUUUUAGCAUUCAAUUUGAAGGUAAUUGACAGGGAUGAAAGAUAACUUUCACUCAUAUUGUAGGGCAGCAGAUAUCUUUAGUCCAUUCAGGGAAAAAAAAAGAAGAUAUCUUUAGACCAUAUAUAAUUUUUCUGAUAGGAGCCAUUGCAUCUUCUCAUAAAAAUUAGGUGACCUUUAAAUCACAUAAAUUACUUUAAAUGUGUGUAUACUAUUAGGUUGAUAUUAAUUGAUUUAUAUAUAUAUAAUAAAUCAUUAUAAAAUUAGUUAUAAUACUAAUAAUUGACGUUAUAUUUUUAAUUACUUACUAUUUUGUAGCCAUCAUAAUUUAUAUUUUGGAUUGAUCAGUUUAAGCGUGCAUGAAUGUUAUCAAACAAUAUGUAUGGUAUAACUCAACCAUCAGAUACAUAGAUCCCACAUUCCCUGCUGUUUGUAACCUUUUAUUGCAAAAAUGUUUGAAGCAUGAGUGAGUUCAGAAAGAUAAUUAUGCUUAGAGAGAUUGCGUUCUACUAUUGACUGCUGUAGUUUCAUAAUUUACUUGUGGAAAGACAUGAUUGUAGAAUCUGUUGGCUUAAAACUUGAGUUGUUGGAAUCACUUUGAUGACAUAUAUUUAGCUUUGGCUUAGUCUGGCUAUGCUUGAGCAGCUGAGGCUAUUGAUCUUUAGUGAUCUAUGAACUUAGCUAAUUUAAGAACAGAGAGCGUAGACUCUAUGGAUUUCUUCAGUUGGUUAAGGGAUGGGAGAAUAUUAGCACAUAUUUAUUGAAAGAUUAAGAAUGGAACAUGUAUAAGUAUCUAUUAAUUAAGCAUAAUAACUUAGCAGGUUUAGUUGUUUUGCCUUUCGGCGAUCAAUAAAGAAAUGUCCCAUACAGUACAGAACCAUCGAUUGUCAGUUGACUUUCAUUAACUAAAGGAAGGUUCAACUUGGGAUGCUUUACACAGCAUGUUUCUUUCCUCAUAUCCAUUAAUGGUGUUCUGCUCCUUUUUUACUUCUAAAACAAUAAAUCAGCAGCGAAAGGUUGUUGCAUUAGGGGCACUCAAGUAAAAUCCUUAAAAGAAAGUUCUAGUAAAAUUUGAAUAACUAUCGCAUUUAUGUGGUUAUUAAGCAUGCUUUUGAUUUGAUUCUCAUUCUCUGCAGUUGACGUACUUCAAAUGUG
rnacentral:misc_RNA from 1 species